rnacentral:rRNA from 1 species
CAGUCGCCGCGGUAAUACGAAGGGUGCAAGCGUUAAUCGGAAUUACUGGGCGUAAAGCGUGCGUAGGCGGUGAGUUAAGUCUGCUGUGAAAUCCCCGGGCUCAACCUGGGAAUGGCAGUGGAUACUGGCUCGCUAGAGUGUGUCAGAGGAUGGUGGAAUUCCCGGUGUAGCGGUGAAAUGCGUAGAGAUCGGGAGGAACAUCAGUGGCGAAGGCGGCCAUCUGGGACAACACUGACGCUGAGGCACGAAAGCGUGGGGAGCAAACAGGAUUAGAUACCCCAGUAGUCCCUGUCUCUUAUAC